AGGCUUAGCACCAGGCUCCAACUCAAUCGCAUGGUCGACCUCUCUCCUUGGUGGCAACUUCUUAGGCAGUUCCUUAGGCAUCACGUCCGCGAACUCCACCAGGACGUCUUCCACUUGUCUCGGCAAAGGUUCGUACUUCUCCUCCCCUUCAUUCAACAUUAGGGUUGCAAGAAAUGUGGCCUCGCCUUUCUUCCAAGACUUGGCAAAUUGAAUUGCCGACAAGUGUUGGGUGCACUGCU
rnacentral:lncRNA from 1 species